rnacentral:rRNA from 1 species
GACGAACGCUGGCGGCGUGCUUAACACAUGCAAGUCGAACGGAAAGGCCCUGCUUUUGUGGGGUGCUCGAGUGGCGAACGGGUGAGUAACACGUGAGUAACCUGCCCUUGACUUUGGGAUAACUUCAGGAAACUGGGGCUAAUACCGGAUAGGAUCUCCUGCUGCAGGGUGGGGGUUGGAAAGUUUGGGCGGUUGGGGAUGGACUCGCGGCUUAUCAGCUUGUUGGUGGGGUAGUGGCUUACCAAGGCUUUGACGGGUAGCCGGCCUGAGAGGGUGACCGGCCACAUUGGGACUGCGAUACGGCCCAGACUCCUACGGGAGGCAGCAGUGGGGAAUAUUGCACAAUGGGCGGAAGCCUGAUGCAGCAACGCCGCGUGCGGGAUGACGGCCUUCGGGUUGUAAACCGCUUUCGCCUGUGACGAAGCGUGAGUGACGGUAAUGGGUGAAGAAGCACCGGCUAACUACGUG